CAAUUCUGCGCCUCCGACGGUGCCCCGUCCGCCGUGAAGGCCCGGGGAUAAUAGGGAAUGCGGUGCGGACCCGGAUGGGGUCCAAGGCCGCGGCUGCCCCCGCAACUGUAUGCGGCGAGUCCGCCUCCGGAAAUGCCACGGGCCGUCAGGCCGGGAAGGCGGGAGGCGCGGCGACGACCCGCGAGCCAGGAAACCUGCCGCCAGACCGAAACUCAUC
rnacentral:ncRNA from 1 species